rnacentral:rRNA from 1 species
UAGGGAAUCUUCCACAAUGGACGCAAGUCUGAUGGAGCAACGGCCGCGUGAGUGAAGAAGGUUUUCGGACCGUAAAGCUCUGUUGUUGGUGAAGAAGGAUAGAGGUAGUAACUGGCCUUUAUUUGACGGUAAUCAACCAGAAAGUCACGGCUAACUACGUGCCAGCAGCCGCGGUAAUACGUAGGUGGCAAGCGUUGUCUGGAUUUAUUGGGCGUAAAGCGAGCGCAGGCGGAAGAAUAAGUCUGAUGUGAAAGCCCUCGGCUUAACCGAGGAAUUGCAUCGGAAACUGUUUUUCUUGAGUGCAGAGGAGGAGAGUAGAACUCCAUGUGUAGCGGUGGAAUGCGUAGAUAUAUGGAAGAAUACCAGUGGCGAAGGCGGCUCUCUGGUCUGCAACUGACGCUGAGGCUCGAAAGCAUGGGUAGCGAACAGGAUUAGAUACCCUGGUAGUCCAUGCCGUAAACGAUGAGUGCUAAGUGUUGGGAGGCUUCCGCCUCUCAGUGCUGCAGCUAACGCAUUAAGCACUCCGCCUGGGGGAGUACGACCGCAAGGUUGAAAC